AUUGAACGCUGGCGGCAUGCUUUACACAUGCAAGUCGAACGGUAACAGGCCGCAAGGUGCUGACGAGUGGCGAACGGGUGAGUAAUGCAUCGGAACGUGCCCAGUCGUGGGGGAUAACUACUCGAAAGAGUAGCUAAUACCGCAUACGAUCUAUGGAUGAAAGCGGGGGACCGUAAGGCCUCGCGCGAUUGGAGCGGCCGAUGUCAGAUUAGGUAGUUGGUGGGGUAAAGGCUCACCAAGCCAACGAUGUGUAGCUGGUCUGAGAGGACGACCGGCCACAAUGGAACUGAGCCAAGGCCGAGACGACGACGGGAGGAACCAGUAGGGAAGCGACAGCAAGGGGCGAAAGCAUGAAGGAGCAACGCAGCGGGAGGGAGGAAGGUCGUCGGAUCGUAAGACUCGGUGAGGAGGGAAGAACAAAGGGGUAAGUAACGAUGCACGUCGGGAGGGUACCUAAUCAGAAAGCCACGGCGAACUACGUG
rnacentral:rRNA from 1 species